GGACGAACGCUGGCGGCGUGCCUAAUACAUGCAAGUCGUGCGGACCUUUUAAAAGCUUGCUUUUAAAAGGUUAGCGGCGGACGGGUGAGUAACACGUGGGCAACCUGCCUGUAAGAUCGGGAUAACGCCGGGAAACCGGGGCUAAUACCGGAUAGUUUUUUCCUCCGCAUGGAGGAAAAAGGAAAGACGGCUUCGGCUGUCACUUACAGAUGGGCCCGCGGCGCAUUAGCUUGUUGGUGGGGUAACGGCCCACCAAGGCAACGAUGCGUAGCCGACCUGAGAGGGUGAUCGGCCACAUUGGGACUGAGACACGGCCCAAACUCCUACGGGAGGCAGCAGUAGGGAAUCUUCCGCAAUGGACGAAAGUCUGACGGAGCAACGCCGCGUGAGUGAAGAAGGCCUUCGGGUCGUAAAACUCUGUUGCCGGGGAAGAACAAGUGCCGUUCGAACAGGGCGGCGCCUUGACGGUACCCGGCCAGAAAGCCACGGCUAACUAC
rnacentral:rRNA from 1 species